rnacentral:rRNA from 1 species
UACGAAGGGGGCUAGCGCUGCUCGGAAUCACUGGGCGUAAAGCGCACGUAGGCGGAUAUUUAAGUCAGGGGUGAAAUCCCAGAGCUCAACUCUGGAACUGCCUUUGAUACUGGGUAUCUCGAGUAUGGAAGAGGUGAGUGGAAUUCCGAGUGUAGAGGUGAAAUUCGUAGAUAUUCGGAGGAACACCAGUGGCGAAGGCGGCUCACUGGUCCAUUACUGACGCUGAGGUGCGAAAGCGUGGGGAGCAAACAGG